rnacentral:rRNA from 1 species
GAUGAACGCUACGCUACAGGCUUAACACAUGCAAGUCGCGGGCAGCAUUCCUUAGCUUGCUAAGGAAGAUGGCGACCGGCGCACGGGUGAGUAACCGCGUAUCCAACCUUCCCAUGUCCACGGGAUAGCCCGUCGAAAGGCGGAUUAAUACCGUAUGAGGUCACAUGCGGGCAUCUAAGUGUGACGAAAGGUUUAGCGGACAUGGAUGGGGAUGGCGUCCGAUUAGCUUGUUGGCGGGGUAACGGCCCACCAAGGCGACGAUCGGUAGGGGUUCUGAGAGGAAGGUCCCCCACAUUGGAACUGAGACACGGUCCAAACUCCUACGGGAGGCAGCAGUGAGGAAUAUUGGUCAAUGGACGCAAGUCUGAACCAGCCAAGUAGCGUGCAGGAUGACGGCCCUAUGGGUUGUAAACUGCUUUUAUGCGGGGAUAAAGUGUGGGACGUGUCCCAUAUUGUAGGUACCGCAUGAAUAAGGACCGGCUAAUUCCGUG